GACGAACGCUGGCGGCGUGCUUAACACAUGCAAGUCGAACGGAAAGGCCCUGCUUUUGUGGGGUGCUCGAGUGGCGAACGGGUGAGUAACACGUGAGUAACCUGCCCUUGACUUUGGGAUAACUUCAGGAAACUGGGGCUAAUACCGGAUAGGAGCUCCUGCUGCAUGGUGGGGGUUGGAAAGUUUCGGCGGUUGGGGAUGGACUCGCGGCUUAUCAGCUUGUUGGUGGGGUAGUGGCUUACCAAGGCUUUGACGGGUAGCCGGCCUGAGAGGGUGACCGGGCACAUUGGGACAGAGAUACGCACCAGGCGCCGACGGGAGGCAGCAGUGGGGAAUAUUGCACGAUGGGCGGAAGCCUGAUGCAGGAACGCCGCGUGCGGGAUGGCGGCCUUCGGGUUGUAAACCGCUUUCGCCUGUGACGAAGCGUGAGUGACGGUAAUGGGUAAAGAAGCACCGGCUAACUACGU
rnacentral:rRNA from 1 species